rnacentral:rRNA from 1 species
UACGGCGAGUGAGCGGCAACAGCUCAAAUUUGAAAUCUGGCGGCCUCUGGGCCGUCCGAGUUGUAAUUUGAAGAGGAUGCUUUUGGCGAGGCGCCUUCCGAGUGCCCUGGAACGGGACGCCACAGAGGGUGAGAGCCCCGUAUGGUUGGACGCCGAGCCUCUGUAAAGCUCCUUCGACGAGUCGAGUAGUUUGGGAAUGCUGCUCAAAAUGGGAGGUAAACCCCUUCUAAAGCUAAAUACUGGCCAGAGACCGAUAGCGCACAAGUAGAGUGAUCGAAAGAUGAAAAGCACUUUGAAAAGAGAGUUAAACAGCACGUGAAAUUGUUGAAAGGGAAGCGCUUGCGACCAGACUUGUGCCCGUCGAAUCAGCCGCCGCUCGUCGGCGGCGCACUUCGGCGGGCUCAGGCCAGCAUCAGUUCGCUGCAGGGGGAGAAAGGCGGUGGGAAUGUGGCUCUUCGGAGUGUUAUAGCCCGCCGCGCAAUACCCCUCGGCGGACUGAGGACCGCGCAUCUGCAAGGAUGCU